rnacentral:rRNA from 1 species
UACGUAGGGUGCAAGCGUUGUCCGGAAUUAUUGGGCGUAAAGAGCUCGUAGGCGGUCUGUCGCGUCGGCUGUGAAAACUCGGGGCUCAACCCCGAGCCUGCAGUCGAUACGGGCAGACUAGAGUGCUGUAGGGGGGACUGGAAUUCCUGGUGUAGUGGUGAAAUGCGCAGAUAUCAGGAGGAACACCGGUGGCGAAGGCGGGUCUCUGGGCAGUAACUGACGCUGAGGAGCGAAAGCGUGGGGAGCGAACAGG